CCUACGGGUGGCUGCAGUGAGGAAUAUUGGUCAAUGGACGAGAGUCUGAACCAGCCAAGUAGCGUGAAGGAUGACUACCCUAUGGGUUGUAAACUUCUUUUAUAUGGGAAUAAAACGUUCCACGUGUGGGAUUUUGUAUGUACCAUAUGAAUAAGGAUCGGCUAACUCCGUGCCAGCAGCCGCGGUAAUACGGAGGAUCCGAGCGUUAUCCGGAUUUAUUGGGUUUAAAGGGAGCGUAGGUGGAUUGUUAAGUCAGUUGUGAAAGUUUGCGGCUCAACCGUAAAAUUGCAGUUGAAACUGGCAGUCUUGAGUACAGUAGAGGUGGGCGGAAUUCGUGGUGUAGCGGUGAAAUGCUUAGAUAUCACGAAGAACUCCGAUUGCGAAGGCAGUUCACUGGACUGCAACUGACACUGAGGCUCGAAAGUGUGGGUAUCAAACAGGAUUAGAUACCCUUGUAGUC
rnacentral:rRNA from 1 species